AGCCUGAACGCUGGCGGCGUGGCUAAGACAUGCAAGUCGCACGGGGUAGCAAUAUCCAGUGGCGAACGGGAGAGUAAUGAAUCGCUAACGUACCCCAGACUCUGGGAUAGCUACCCGAAAGGGUAGGUAAUACCAGAUGAUAUAACCUUGUCGCAUGACAGGGUUCUCAAAGGUCC
rnacentral:rRNA from 1 species